UACAGAGGGUGCAAGCGUUAAUCGGAGUUACUGGGCGUAAAGGGCGCGUAGGCGGUUGUAUAUGUGUGAUGUGAAAGCCCCGGGCUUAACCUGGGAAGUGCAUCGCAAACUGUAUGACUGGAGUACAAGAGAGGGUGGCGGAAUUUCCGGUGUAGCGGUGAAAUGCGUAGAGAUCGGAAGGAACGUCGAUGGCGAAGGCAGCCACCUGGCUUGAUACUGACGCUGAGGCGCGAAAGCGUGGGGAGCGAACAGG
rnacentral:rRNA from 1 species